CGGUGAUUAAGUCAGAUGUGAAAUCCCGAGCUUAACUUGGGAACUGCAUUUGAAACUGUCAGCUAGAGUCUUGUAGAGGGGGGUAGAAUUCCCAGGUGUAGCGGUGAAAUGCGUAGAGAUCUGGAGGAAUACCGGUGGCGAAGGCGGCCCCCUGGACAAAGACUGACGCUCAGGUGCGAAAGCGUGGGGAGCAAAACAGGAUUAGAUACCCUGGUAGUCCACGCUGUAAACGAUGUCGACUUGGAGGUUGUGCCCUUGAGGCGUGGCUUCCGGAGCUAACGCGUUAAGUCGACCGCCUGGGGAGUACGGCCGCAAGGUUAAAACUCAAAUGAAUUGACGGGGGCCCGCACAAGCGGUGGAGCAUGUGGUUUAAUUCGAUGCAACGCGAAGAACCUUACCUACUCUUGACAUCCAGAGAAUUUAGCAGAGAUGCUUUAGUGCCUUCGGGAACUCUGAGACAGGUGCUGCAUGGCUGUCGUCAGCUCGUGUUGUGAAAUGUUGGGUUAAGUCCCGCAACGAGCGCAACCCUUAUCCUUUGUUGCCAGCACGUAAUGGUGGGAACUCAAAGGAGACUGCCGGUGAUAAACCGGAGGAAGGUGGGGAUGACGUCAAGUCAUCAUGGCCCUUACGAGUAGGGCUACACACGUGCUACAAUGGCAUAUACAAAGAGAAGCGAACUCGCGAGAGCAAGCGGACCUCAUAAAGUAUGUCGUAGUCCGGAUUGGAGUCUGCAACUCGACUCCAUGAAGUCGGAAUCGCUAGUAAUCGUAGAUCAGAAUGCUACGGUGAAUACGUUCCCGGGCCUUGUACACACCGCCCG
rnacentral:rRNA from 1 species